AAGAUGGAAGAUGGGUUUGGAUUGGGUUAUGGUACAGUCUUUACUGGGUCAUCACUCAAGCUGCCAGGUGGAAACCGGUCUUAAGGUGCGCCUUCAAGGACAGGCUUUCUCGGAGGUACAAGAAUGUGUAUGCACAACAAAUUUCAAGAUCGAGCCACCAUUAAUGAUAAUUAAUGCAAUAUCAUCGGUGAUGGCUUAUGAUUAUUCACGGGAAAAACUUAGUGUGUAUCUGUCUGACGAUGGUGGAUCAGACCUUACAUUUUAUUUUCUCUUAGAGGCACUAAGUUUGCAAAACAUUGACACCAUAUUGUAAGAAAUUCAAUGUGGAAUCAAUGUCACCUGCAGGCAUACAAUAUUAAGAAAUUAUAUGAAGAAAUGGAAGAUCGAAUUAAGACUCCAACCAAGCUAGGUCGAAUCCCUGAAGAAGAAUGCUUCAAACAUAAAGGAUUUUCACAAUGGGAUUCAUACUCUUCAUGACUUGACCAUGACACUAUCCUUUAAGUAACCCAUUUCUUUUUUUUUUUUUUUUGUACUUACAUAAGUUUUCCAGUAAGCAUUAUUGAAGUCUGCGUAUUUGAUGUUUGUAUUUCCACUUGUUAUCAUUGUUAGGUUCUUGUCAUGUAUGAUACAGAAGUUCGUCAUGGCUAGGUUGGUUCCAAGAUCAUUUAUUUGUUUUUUUUUUUCAUUUUUUUGGUCUAAUAUGCAGAUUAGAGUGUCAUCAAA